rnacentral:rRNA from 1 species
GACGAACGCUGGCGGCGUGCUUAACACAUGCAAGUCGAACGGAAAGGCCCUGCUUUUGUGGGGUGCUCGAGUGGCGAACGGGUGAGUAACACGUGAGUAACCUGCCCUUGACUUUGGGAUAACUUCAGGAAACUGGGGCUAAUACCGGAUAGGAGCUCCUGCUGCAUGGUGGGGGUUGGAAAGUUUCGGCGGUUGGGGAUGGACUCGCGGCUUAUCAGCUUGUUGGUGGGGUAGUGGCGUACCAAGGCUUUGACGGGUAGCCGGCCUGAGAGGGUGACCGGCCACAUUGGGACUGAGAUACGGCCCAGACUCCUACGGGAGGCAGCAGUGGGGAAUAUUGCACAAUGGGCGGAAGCCUGAUGCAGCAAUGCCGCGUGCGGGAUGACGGCCUUCGGGUUGUAAACCGCUUUCGCCUGUGACGAAGCGUGAGUGACGGUAAUGGGUAAAGAAGCACCGGCUAACUACGUG